rnacentral:rRNA from 1 species
GUGGAUUAGAUACCCUAGUAGUCCACGCAGUAAACGAUGAAUACUAGCUGUAUGCGAUAUACUGUAUGUGGCAAAGCGAAAGCGUUAAGUAUUCCACCUGGGGAGUACGUUCGCAAGAAUGAAACUCAAAGGAAUUGACGGGGGCCCGCACAAGCGGAGGAACAUGUGGUUUAAUUCGAUGAUACGCGAGGAACCUUACCCGGGCUUGAAAUGCAGACGACCGACAGGGAAACUUGUCUUCCAGCAAUGGCGUCUGUGCAGGUGCUGCAUGGCCGUCGUCAGCU